UUUUUAAUAAUUAAUUUGAACUGAAUCAAAAAUGAUGACAGACUUUGUUAGACUAAUUGAAAUCCGUCUAGGAAGUAGCCCUGCAAACACUCCACCGACGCAAGUAAAUAUUGAUUUAUGGAGAGUAAGAUGCAUUGAGAUGAAAAAAUGUUUGUACCUUCUUUAUUGACAAAGCAUUGUUUAUGGAAUCCAAUAGAUAUGACACAAUAUAAGUGGUAAUUUGUAAUGUCUUGAGUCCAAUUAUUGAUAGCAUAUUAGUACAAUGAUUCAUAUGCGAAUUUUCUCAGGAAAAGAGCGAGGUCUUCAUCUUUGAUACGACUAUGGAAAACAAUAAUUCUACAUAAUGGUAACGAUCAUGGAAUUAAAACCGGAGAACCAUUAUGAAUAAGCUUUUGGCUUUUUUUAUAGGAGAAUAAGCUUUUGGCUAUAUGUUGGCCAUGUAUAAUCGACUUUUGAGUGGUGGAGUUUCUUUUUUCUUUUGAUACCAUCAUAUAACCACGUGUUCCUUAAAAAAAUAAUCAUGUAACCACUGUGCUAUUUUAUCAAAUAGAAAGAAUUUUCUAAUAUUCAUUUUGAGAUUGAAGAAAC
rnacentral:lncRNA from 1 species